GAAUAAGUAUACUCUGAAACUUU
rnacentral:piRNA from 1 species